rnacentral:lncRNA from 1 species
UUUAUAGCUCAGGGGUUGAAGGCAGGAGAGGGAGCCUAUCUGUAAAUAUCUUUCUCCUUAAAAUGUGGUCUCUCCCGCCUCUCUUCCUUUUGGCUCCUUUCCUUUUUUUUGGCACAGGAAGAUGGCUGAGGUCAGCGAGGCUGGGUUGUUUCCCUGUCCACAGCGCAUUAGGGACCAGAAAAGAAUGUUGGUGUCUCUAAGGUAUUAUUUUCACUUUGGGAGGCCAAAGUAGGAGGAUCAUUUGAGGCUAGGAGUUGGAGACCAGCCUGUGCAACAUAGUGAAACCUCAUCUCAAUGAAAAAGGACCCAAGAAGCUGGAGAACAGACAGAAAAACUGCUGAAGUCAAGCCUGUCAUUGCCACAACUCUGCAUGUUAGUGAAGACAGCCAACAAGUUUGGAGGAACAUGGCCUCUGUCUCACUUCCAUCUUCUAACUCUUCAACUGGUAUGAACGAUGUGUAACCUCACUUGCAUGCAAACCUUAGCCUCAGAGGAGAUUGGGAAAUGCCAGCAUCUCCAGCUAGAAAUAGUCCAUCUUUAUUUUUACUACUUCCCUGCCUCUUUUCCUGUCUUCUAUUAGACUCAUAAAAUUAUCUAUAUUCCCUUUCUUUUUUUCUUUGCCAGUUUGAAAGCUAUAAUUAUAUUGCUAUUCUUUUAGUGUAUACCUUAAUUUUUAAAGCUAAGUUUAAAUUAUUUUAAUAUUUCAAAGUUACUUGGUAUUUUAUCUUGUCUUUCUAACCAAGGCAAAGACUUUAUCAUGUUUAAUGAUGCACUGACCAUCCCCCUUUCUAAUCUUGCUAUUGUUGUAAAGUUUUAUUCUUACAUUUUAA